CGGGACCCGCACAAGCAGCGGAGCAUGUGGUUUAAUUCGAAGCAACGACGAAGAACCUUACCAGAUCUUGACAUCCAAUUGACCAUCUUUUAAUCGAGUAUUUUGCCUUCGGGUACAAUUGAGACAGGUGGUGCAUGGUUGUCGUCAGCUCGUGUCGUGAGAUGUUGGGUUAAGUCCCGCACGAGCGCAACCCUUUGUGUUUAGUUGCAAACAGGUCAAGCUGUGCACUCUAGACAGACUGCCGUGGACAACACGGAGGAAGGUGGGGAUGACGUCAAAUCAUCAUGCCCCUUAUGAUCUGGGCUACACACGUGCUACAAUGGCCGGUACAACGGGCAGCGAAGGAGCGAUCCGGAGCGAAUCCUAAAAAGCCGGUCCCAGUUCGGAUUGCAGGCUGAAACUCGCCUACAUGAAGUUGGAGUUGCUAGUAAUCGCGAAUCAGAAUGUCGCGGUGAAUGCGUUCCCGGGUCUU
rnacentral:rRNA from 1 species